UAAGUAAGUGCCCUUAAUCAGCUUUUCAGUUCAGUUUUAUUGGUUGCACGCACAGUCAGUUAUUUCAUCCAGAAAAUCUGAGGGCCCUACAAAGCUAACCAGCUUACCAAUGAAGAAUUUCAGAGAAGAAGUGUAGUAUAAGGAGGAAUUGGAGUAGAAGAUGGCUGAUGGGAUGCAGAGGAAACCAUUCCAAGCAGAAGAGGUAUCAUGGAAGAAGCAAGACUGGAGAGGACAAGAUAUGUGUCCUGCUCCUGAGUCCCUUACGAACAUAAAGGAAUUAUGUCCAGAAGCGUUUUAUUGGUCCGGUUUCCUAUCCUGAGCACCUGCUAAGGUGCACAAGAAACGAGUUUCAUUGCUAUACACCUCUCAGGAAUGGAGCACCGUUUCUGUUGCUGUGCCCAGCAUGCACCACAAUGGCUACUAUGAGAGAUUUAAAGUGUGAAAUAUUCAAGCAAGAAUGAAGUGUCGAGUCAGAUCUAGAGACAACACUACACCAACAGAAGACAUCUGAGUUCUUUUUUCAGAUUUCUUAACAAAAAAAGUUAAUAAAAAUGCUGAAGUUCCUCUUUAGUGCUUCUGGCAGACAUAUAUAGUAAGAUACAAAAUGCUGUAAAUGAGUCUAAAUAAAAUUGCUGAGUUUUUUCCUCCUUACCAUCUGCAGCUGUACUGGAAAAACACUUGCCCCUAGCUACUGUGUUUGUAACACACUUGUAUAAGAUUUUCACACAAUCCUAUCCUAUCCUAUCCAUCUAGGCAAGGGCCCCUCUUACCCCAACCAUCACUGGGCUCACCUUUUGCUCCUAACCCCAGAGUUUGAGGUUCACAGCAGCUCUCUAUGGUAGUGAGCCCAGCCAUACCUCCUCAGACUCCCUCCCUAGCUAGCUAGCUCCAUUGAAUAUGGGUGUGUUUUUACUCUCAUUCCCCACCACCUCCCUUCCAUCCUCUCUUUCCAGCUGCCAACUGCUGAGGCUUUUAAAGACCCUCAGUCAUCCAGAAGCGGAGUCAGCUGACCCCAAUCAGCCUGAGCCAGUUCCCUCCCAGCUGCAUCUAAUUGGCCUGCAGCUCUCUGCUUCUACUUACAGGGUUUUUUACCCUUUUCCCCUCUCCGCAGUAGCUCCCUGGCGUGAUCCUGCUACAUUAUCUAUUUAUCUACAUAGAGUAUAUCUCUCUGUUUGUGAGUCCAUCUAUUUGUCUGUGGGUCCAUUUGUUCAAGAACUCCUCCUAAACAGAAAUA